rnacentral:rRNA from 1 species
GUAAUACGUGGAUAACCUGCCCUUGGGUCCGGCAUAACCCCGGGAAACUGGGGAUAAUUCCGGAUAACGCACAUAUGCUGGAAUGCUCUAUGCGUCAAAUGGAUUCGUACGCCCAAGGAUGGGUCUGCGGCCUAUCAGGUAGUAGUGGGUGUAAUGUACCUACUAGCCUACGACGGGUACGGGUUGUGAGAGCAAGAGCCCGGAGAUGGAUUCUGAGACAUGAAUCCAGGCCCUACGGGGCGCAGCAGGCGCGAAAACUUUACAAUGCGGGAAACCGUGAUAAGGGGACACCGAGUGCCAGCAUCCUAUGCUGGCUGUCCGGGUGUGUAAAAUACACCUGUUAGCAAGGGCCGGGCAAGACCGGUGCCAGCCGCCGCGGUAACACCGGCGGCCCGAGUGGUGAUCGUGAUUAUUGGGUCUAAAGGGUCCGUAGCCGGUUUGGUCAGUCCUCCGGGAAAUCUGACAGCUUAACUGUUAGGCUUUCGGAGGAUACUGCCAGACUUGGAACCGGGAGAGGUAAGAGGUACUACAGGGGUAGGAGUGAAAUCUUGUAAUCCCUGUGGGACCACCUGUGGCGAAGGCGUCUUACCAGAACGGGUUCGACGGUGAGGGACGAAAGCUGGGGGCACGAACCGGAUUAGAUACCCGGGUAGUCCCAGCCGUAAACGAUGCUCGCUAGGUGUCAGGCAUGGCGCGACCGUGUCUGGUGCCGCAGGGAAGCCGUGAAGCGAGCCACCUGGGAAGUACGGCCGCAAGGCUGAAACUUAA